rnacentral:misc_RNA from 1 species
UUGUUGUUUUAGUAUGACUUACAUGCGUCACUUUUGGUUUAAAAGAGACCGUUUUCACAGGGUAAGGAUGAAGUGGGCAGUCCUACGCGGACGCCGAUUCACUAGUGAUCCUUCCGCAGGUUCACCUACGGAAA